AAGGUAAACAAAGCGGCGAUGGCGGACCCGUGGCACAUCUCCAUGGAGAGCGUCAGAGCCCCGCCGUGACAGCUUUUCCCCGUGUUCUCCUCGUCCACUGAAUGCGUCCUAUGCAGCGCGGGGCGUUCCUCCAGGCCAGCUUUGCCCCGAACUCCAGCUCUUGGCGCGUGGGUCUGUAGGUGCCGCGCCCCUCCACGGCGGCCACCACCUCCUGCCAACGCGCUUCCUCCUCCACGCUGCCAGACCUGCAGGGGACCAAGUCACGGUGACGAGGACUUGGUAUGCUCCAAGGUGUGCUGUUCAUCAGUGGCAUAACAGGUGCUGCUUCCCCUCUCUUCAAGAUACUAACACCACAAGCACACGAGUGAUGGCAUGUAUCUUAACAGGCUUCAGUGUCAGGAUGCUCAACAUCACAGUAACCUCAAGAUGUUAUUGUAUCUUGACUGGAUCCCUAGCCCAGUAAGUAAGGAUGCUGCUGAUUGACUGUUGAUGGGCAGGGGGUCCAAUAUCUGUCUCCCAGCACAAUGACCUUUUUACAUUUCACCUGUGACCCCGGAAGGCUUUUUGGUGGGGCCUGGUGAUUGGGCCCAGUCCAUUAUGGCACAGGCAAAUGAUUUAUAGUGAUGCCAUCUUGCUUGGCUCAUGCUGCCUCCCAGAGCUCAUCUUUGAUCCUCUUUUCAAGAGAAUCAAGAGCCCUGAUUGACAGGUGGUCUUCAGGACAGCGUGUGGGAAGUCUCAGGCCACUUGGCGAUGACUUAAAAAUUCCCAGCCCAUUUGUUGCGGGAGGCGGGAUGUGAACCUGCUUCUUCUUGAACUCCAAGCCAGCAUACUGACCACUCAGCCACUGCUUCCCCAUAAAAUAUUCAUUCUAUUUCAUUACUUGGCUCAUUUGUUACAUGCAAUGGGUAAAUUUUGUUGACGUAAUUAGAUUAACCAGUGAUUAUAUACCUACAACAUGGUUUUCAAUAUAGGAUAUAAAAAUAAUUAUGGUAAGUAUAAGUCAGUGAAUAACAUAUAAUAUCACUUUUUACAAUUAAUAACUGUAAUAAGUAAAAAAUACUUAACCCUUUCCAUCCAUGACGCAGAUGUUGGCGUCACGGUAUGGAAAGGGUCAAAAGGAAAUGGAAGAGGAUUAAUCCUCUUCUAAACCUCUCAAUCCUCCUCUAAAUUCCUCUUAAUCCUCUUCCAUUUCCUCUUAAAGAGGUUUAGAAGAGGAUUAAGAAAGAAGUUUAGAAGAGGACUAACGGUGAUGCUGUCAGCCUCACCGGAGUGAAGGGAUUAAGAGCCUCUGGAGAAACACUAUCUGGUUUUGAAAGAAAAUUUAUAGUUUAUUGAAUGUAGCAUAAAAUUUCUACAAUAUUAAAGAUAAAGAUUUCUAUGAGAAAGACAACAGCAAAACAAUCUUUACAGAGUUAAGGAAAAUGCUUCCUUCUCCUCAACAGGCAGCUGGAUUGAACCUCGACUGUGUGUGCAAGACAUCCUGCACUUGACUGGAUGGAGAUGUGUUGGAUGGUUGUGACACUUGGCAGGGUCCACAGGGCACCACACUUGAAAGAAGCAAGAGUGACAUCUUAAUGAAAUAUACAGGUUCUAAAACUUUUCUUGUAAACUUAAAUAUCUUGAUGAUAAAUAUAGCAUAGUUGCAGUGCCUGUGUCUGAAGUGUACAUUAGUAAUGUGCUGUGGCAACCUGCUGGCACAUGGCUUGUCUGAUUUCGUGGAUAUUAUAUGAUAGCUUACACUUAGAAAUUGUUGUUAUCAAUAAUAUGCAGGCAGCACUUACGAGCUGAUUUUGAGUUUCAAAUCAUUAAUACUAUAACAGACUGCCGUUUUGUUAUAUCUUCUCCACAGAGAAUAGUGCCAUAAUAAUUAUUAUCAACAACUCUGUGUAAAGUAACAAAUCGGCUGUCUGCGAUAGUAUCAAUAAUUAUAUAAUUUAAACCUCAAAAUCAACAAUAAUUUACAGUAUAAAUCAUUGUUGCCUGCAUUUUAUUAAGUAACAACAAUUUCUAAGCACUGGCUAUUAUAUAUUAUCCUACGAAAUCAGACAGCAGAUUGCCAGAGCUUGAUAAUGCACAGCUUAUGCUCAGGCAUCACAACUAUAGUGGGGACACCAAUCUUAUUUGAUUUAAGAAGAUACUUCAAGCUUUUCCCUCGAGCCUCUAAGGUAUUUUUGACACUUGGUACAGUUUUUAAGACCUACUGAUACAUAUUUUUGACACCUGGUGCAGUUUUCAAGACCUAUUGAUACAUAUUUUUGACACUUGGUACAGUUUUUAAGACCUACUGAUACAUAUUUUUGACACUUGGUACAGUUUUUAAGACCUACUGAUACAUAUUUUUGACACUUGGUAGUUUUCUAGACCUGUUGAUACAUAUUUUUGACACUUGGUACAGUUUUCAAGACCUAUUGAUACACGUUUUUGCAGUUUUUUCUACCCAUCUUGUACAAUUUCAACAUUAAUCAUACCAAACAGUGUAGAAACUAAGGUAGAAUAUUGCAAUGGGGUCCCUCACUGAGCUCGACCUGCCAUUUGGUGGCCCUCUUGGAACCUCUGCCAGAUCCAAAUCUGCAGACUUCUGGAGUGCAGCAAAGAUUAAGUGGCAUUUUUCUGCAACAAACUAGUAAUGUAUCAGAGUUGUAAUGACCACUAUUAUGUUUACACCAAAAUAUAUUGGUGCUGUACAUAAUUCAUGCCAUUUUAAUGAACAUUGUUGGCAAAAUAAGAGCAUUCAACGAUAUAUCCUGCAACGCUCCAUCCAGUGAAUCAUAGGAAUGCAUCAGUGCAGACUUAUGGGUAAACAUUUCCUUCAUGCAAGAUAAGCAAACAAGUCAAACAAUAGUGUCAGCGGAGGAAGGUGUUGAAAAUUUUGCCACUCAACAUUUCCUCCAGGUAAUACACCCCUGACUCACCUACUAUGCAUUCCUCUCUCUCUACAAUCAGGGAGCACUGGAGGUUGUUUACUCUGCUGCAAAACAUAUCGUAUGCUCCCGGCAGCAAGUGUUGACUUAUUUUAUAUUUCAAAUUUAAAUCAUAAUUCAUACAUCUUUAGCAUCUUAUAAUAUUACAUUCACUAUACUGAAGUUUAAAAGAACAACAUAUAACACGUGACAAUUGUUCUUGUGGGAAAAAAAUAUAUAUUUUAAUUUCCUUUUUCUUGCGUAUCCCCAUUUCUUAACCCUUAGAGCACGGGUGGCGAUACAUUUCUCUGGAUGGUGUGCACGAGGAAAAUUUAGAAAUUUAAAAGAGGUGGAAAUGGUGUCUUUCUUCUUUGCAAUAAUUGUAUAUUCAUAUACUAUAUAUGGUGGUGUAAUAAAACUUCUCUCCUAAUAAUAAUAAAGAAGUUACAACAGCCAAAAAUAUUGCGCAUUUUCUCGUGGCCGUGACGCGUCGCGUGGAAGCACCCCACUUGCUCACUCGCUCUCUCUCUCUCUCUCUCUCUACCUACUUGCCCCUCCCUCCUCUGUCAAUGUCACUACUAUAGCAGUCAUCAGAGUCACUGUCACUUUGAUUCGCCCGCGCUCUACUUCCGCCCAGAGCAGAGGAACUGCUUGACUCGUCACAAGACAUGGCAGAUGUAUUCCGAACAAAAUCGGAGAAUGAUCUGUGGCCUUCGGUAGGCUGCGCGCUGGAGACGUAUGAGAGUGUAUACGGAUGCCAGAUGCCUCCACCAUUCUUCCGAGUCAAGAACUGGCGGUAUAUUUGAAAUGUAGGGAGCAUAGAGUGUGAUGAUUAUAUAUAUGAUCCCCGUACGGGUGGGGCAUGUGGUAGCACACUUAUAUAUACGAUCGCCGUAAUCUAAGGGUCAAAUACUACUAUCAAGUCAAUUGUCUCUAUACCGUAGCUAUGAGAAAAAUGUGAUUUCUAAAGGCUAGCGAAAAACUUGUAAGGAAAAUUAUUUGACAAAGUCCACAUUCAUAAUUUUUGUUGCAGUACCAAGACAUCCACCAGAUGGCAGGUCGAGCUUAGUGAAGGACCUCAUUUAAGUACAGUACCCUCUCGAGUUUCGCGCUCGCUUCGUUCCGAAGGUAUAGCGCUAAACUCGAGGUAUUGAAAACACUGAAAAGCGCUUAUCUAUUCCGACCCGUGGAGAGUUAGACUAUCCAUCUGGGCCUGAUGAUCAGCCCUGAGCUCGUCAUGGCGCAGGCAACUGUUUAUAGUGGCGCCAUUUUAAUUGGCUCAUGCUGCCUCCCCGGAGCUCACUUUUUUUCCUUCUAUACUCCCUUGUUAUCUCAAAAUACGUACUUUGGAAAUAGGAAGAAAACAGGAAGAGAUAACGGGUCGUUUUAAAGCCACAGAUGAAGCCUCACAAUUGGCUGAGCUUUGAAAACACGCUUGUGAUUCCCUGGGAGUCCGAUGACGUCAGCGGCCUCGCUGCCUUAAGGCAGUGUCACGCUGGCCAUUUUCCUCUAACCGUUGUGGCUAUUGGCAACACCCAUGCGCCCAUCCAGGAGCGAGUUGUCGGUUGUCUGUAACUUGAUGUCAUGCUGGGCCCUUUUUUUCCCACCACGUUGGCGGCAGCUUGGGCCACCGCCAAAUCCAACUUUUCCAAGUGUGCGUCACACACGGCCAAGGUCGAUUGCCUGUAUCCACAUCCACAAUGUAAACAAAGCACUUGCCCUGUAUCGACAUGGCGUCGUCUGCUAAACUAAGGGCUCUCGCAGCUUGUGCUGUCAUUACCCAAGUUAUGGACUUGUUGCUGCAGUUAAAUGGAAGGAAGAAGCUGUUGUGGCUGUGGCAUGUCUGUGGUUCUUCCGUGCCAGUUCUUAUUGUCACCACUGCGCGUGAGCGGCCAACCCACCCAUCUAGACUCCGACCACAUAAACACGUGGAUCAAGUAACAACACACACACACACACACACACCAGACUCAUCAUGAACCAUGGCAGAUGUUUCUCACAAACAAAAAUGGCUUUGCCAUUUCCUAGAGUGUGUUAGAACUUAUUUGGUGAGUGGUUCAUACAAACCAAACAUACCCAAUGGAAAGAAGAGAGCAAUGUUAAAGACGACUGUUCUCUUCUUGCCAAGAGCCAGGUUUGGUUCAUGUGAGCCACUCACCAAAUACGUUCUAACACACUCAAGUGAUGGUGAAGUCGUUUCUGUUUGUCAGAAACAUCUGCAAUGGUUCCUAAUGAGUCUGGUGUGUGUGUGUGUGUGUGUGUGUGUGUUAUUCGAUCCAUGUGUUUAUGUGAUUGAGUCAAGAUAGGUGGGUUAGCCACGCACGCACAGUGGUGACAAUGAGAACUGGCAUGGAGGAAACACAGGCAUGCCACAUCCACAACCGUUUCUUUCUUCCUUUUAACUGCAGCAACAAGUCCAUAACUUGGGUAAUGGCAGCACAAGCCGCGACAGCCCUUACUUUGGUAGACGACACCAAGUUGAUAGGCUACAGGGCAAGUGCUUUGUUUAUGUUGUGGAUGUGGAUACGGGCAACUGACCUUGGCCAUGUGUGACGCACACCCGGAAAAGUUGGAGUUGCCAGUUGCCCUAGCUGGCGCCAACUCGGUGGGAAGAAAAAAGCCCUGUGUGACACCAGCUUACGGAUACGAGAACUCGCUCCCGGUUGGGCGUACGGGCAUCGCCCGUAGCCUCAACGGUUGGACGAAAAUGGCCAUUGUGACACCACCUCAAGGCAGUGAAGCCACUGAUAGGGUGAGCAUCGGCGAUGACGUCAUCGGACUCCCAGCGAAUCACAAGUGUUUUCAGAACUGUCAGCCAAUCGUAAGGCAGCCGCCUUCAACUGCAGCUUCAAAACGACCCAUUCUCUCUUCCCAUUUUCUCUCUCUCUUGCCAUAGCCACAAUGUUUGGAGGAAAACAUCCAGUAUGAUACUACCUUUAAAGGUAGCGUGCGUGACGCCGAUGGUAAGUAGGCGUGACCAGUACGUGUCAAAGCACCGCGAAACUCGGGGUGAUGAUGCGCAAAAGUCGGGAUGGUAAGAAUUUAGGACUAACCGCGAAACUCGAGAGGGUACUGUAGAAUAUUACAAUUACUGAAGUUCCUCCACCAUUUUUCAUAAUUCUUAACUUAAGCAUUUCAAUCGCUGACUAUUGUAAUUUAAUGAUAUUUAACUGGUCUAACCUUUAGUUACUGAAUGAAAUUACUAGCAUUACUACAUUCUAGAACAGGGUAAAACAUUACAUCAAACUUAUAACCAAUGGGGAGCACAAGCCAGGAGACGCAUCACUUCACUUACCCGCUCCCUUCACCCCCAAGUCCCUCUAAGCGAACAUCUACACAGUCUGUCACUUUUGGCAGGAUCAGUCAACUUACCCCAACCAUGAGUUAGGUGGGCAUCUCCUUGGUCUCCACUCAGGGUUGUCUCAUACAGAAACAACCCUGUAAGCAGGACCAUGUUCAGGAAGUGUGCCAUAUAGCCCAUAUAUUAUACAUGCCCAUAUAGCCGAAGUCAGUGUUCAUGGAAUAAGUCAAUUGCAGGCCUUGAUUCAGUUUCAUAAAGUAGGUGUUGGUUCGGGACAAAGGCAUUCCAACGAUACCCCAUGAUCCUGUUAAGGUACUUUAAUGAAGAGAUUUUCUAUUCUCUUUUUCUAUUACUCUCUCGGUCCCACACAUCCUCUGCGUGUAUCGAAACACACAAGAAAUUAAUCACAAGGAGAUCCCGGCUGCCCGGGAUCAAACCCGCGACCAGCGUGACGGGAGAGCCACUCCUUACUGAGUCGGCCAAAGAGGUACCCCAUUCACCGAAUGGGUUAUGGGAGGCUCGCUCAUCAGGCCGUCGCCUCACUACAGUACUAAAUACCAAAGACAUCAACACACCUCUUCAAGUCACUAUUCAGUGUCCAUGUCUCAUAGCGCUACAGUAAGACAGGGAGCACAAGUAAAAAAUUAUAAUCUUUAUCCUCCUGCACAGAUAUUGAUUACACCAUAUACUUGUAUUGAGUGAAUCCAUAACACCAUGGACCAAGCUAAGUUAAGUCACUUCCUGGCGAGUGGCAAGACACACCAUUGUUAAGCACAACACUACCAAGAUGUGUUAAACUUUUGGUGACCUGUGUCCUCGUCACAUGCAUGAACAGAAUCAACUGUGUCAUCCAGUAACCCUCCAAAUGACUGGACCUUGGUUUUGGCUCAGGAGACCUUUAGUUCCAUUACUCUCUCUCUGGAGGAUGGCUCUAAAAGUGCUGAAUGAGGAGACAAAGCCACUGCCCCUGAUUGUCUCAUGGACCAAUGUCUAGUCAUUUGGAGGCUUACUGGAAGACAUGGUCUAUUCAUACAUGUGGUGAUGACAUCAAGGUCACCAAAAGUUCACAUAUCUUGGUAGCGAAGUCUAUCAACAGAUUGGCCUGGCCCAUGGUGUUAUGGACUUGCUCAAUAUGAGAGGAGUAAACCCUCAGCACAACAGACCCGUUUUUAAUGGAUUUUUAAUAUAACGGACAAGGUCAGAAAUCCACAGGGACUGACUGGGAAUAGUAUUUGAACCAAUCGCACCUGAUAACUGCAAAAGCAUCUGCUAGCCAUCUCGCCUUCCUCCCUUUAUCUGAUCUCCCAUCCUACGUUACUGUAAUACCAGUAUCAGACAUGUACUACACCAAGUCCCCGAUUUAGAAGCGAUGUCCAUUCCUCCAAAUUUGCUUGUAACAAAGCGGAAAUUUGUUAACCUUAGCGAAUUUUCCCAUUUAAUUCCAUUAUGGACAUUUGAGAGAUGCGUUCCUGUCCAGAAGACCACCUAUCAACCUGGACUCUAGAUAGUAGAUUCUAGGAUCAAAGAUGAGCUCCGGGGGGCAGCAUGAGCCAAUGCAAGAUGGCGCCACUGUAAACACUUACCUGCGCCACAAUGGGCUGGGGCCGAUCAUCAGGCCCUACUACAGAAGCCUACCAGUGCCACACUUUGUAGUAGUAGAAAAGUAGGUAAAAAAUCUUGAUUUUGUAUCCCUACCCUUCUAACUAUCCAGCUUGCCGCGUGUUGCUGGAUAUUGUCCAUUUUCGUGCAGUUCCGGCUGUCAUGUUGUUAAUGUCAUUUCAGAUUUAUCUAUAAUAAAUAGUUCAAAAGGCACAUAUUUAUCAAGAAAGACAUUAUUGCAUUAAUUUCUAUCAGUACAAUCUGUUACCUUACAACUCAAAAAGAGUUUUGGUAGGAAUACUAAGUCAAUUUUAUGCACAUUAGAACAAGUUAAGAAUUGGCAAAUGAGCGGCGCAGAGACAAUCACCCAAGCAAUGAUGCCAAGUCCACCCCUGAAGGAUUGUCUCCAUCAACUCUCAUGGAACCGACUAUAGUAAGUAAACACCCACUACUGUGGUCUCUCUCUCACUCUACAGGUCAUUUUGUCUUAAGAGAGCUCCACUAUGUCUACUCUCAGCCUUCUGAAUUUAGCUGACAGAUAACGGGGUAUUCAAUCUUCUGAGAGGCUCAGGAUGUUCAAAGCACUCGCAUGGAAAGCUUGCCAGAGGUUAACCCUAGGCUUGGCUCAGCGAGCUUGUCUGGCAAUCCCCAGAAGGUGGGUGUGUAUGGUGGGGCAGGGGUUUUCUCCUGCCCCAACCAGGUUUAAAUCAUGAAGAUGUCCUUUUCUGUUACUUCUUCGUUCCCUAUGCCAUGCAUUGUAAUUUUGUUGCAAUAAAUGAGCUAAAUAUUGAAGUCAACUUUUUCUCUUUCCUGCUAAUCUAUCCCAGUGUUAUUUAACAUGUGUGAAUAGCUGGCUUGGUGCACAAGAGAUCUGGAGAGCAAUACUCGUAGGAUGGAAAUAUUAUAGUUAAGGAAAUGGGAAGUGUUCAGUUUGUGCUGCUGCAAUAGAAAUGUGGAACAAGCAGACAUAAGCUGAGCGUGGGGAAUCAUAUGGCUAGCAUAGUAAACUGGUAAAAUAAGUAAUUUUCUUUUCCUUCUAGAACAGAUAAAAACAAUCUUAUUGAUGAAAACCGGCAUUGCCAUACACUACCUUUAUAUACCAAUAAUCAUGAAGGAGAUACAUACUUGCAUGUAUCUUGCUUCUCAGCUACAGUCCAGUCGUCAUUCAGCUGAAUAUCAAGUAGGGCAUGUUUUGUAUUCAUGUCUUGCUUUCAGCUUUGUACCACAUCCCUGUAAUCCUGUAACAUGAGGGACAAAAUUAAAGUGAAUCUGGACAUUAUGUAAGUUAUGUAAGGAGGUUAAUGCAAUGAGGGGACGAGACAUCACAUCAAGACUUUAUGGUGUAAGUGUGGUGAUAAAUUAGGAGGAAUACACACUUUGCCCUGCUUUUGCCAGUCCAUUUCCAUGCUUCAAACAACAGUAUACCAUGUUAAUCAUACCACACAAUUUGCCUAAGGUAAGAAGGCAUGUUACAUAACUUCGUCAGCAUCUAACUGCAAUGGUGGUAGGAAGGAUUCCCGCCACACACUGCCUCACCUUCUACAUGCAUCCAACAUCACCCACCUGCCACAUCACCAGCUGCCUCAUUAGCUCCCUUGCCUCAACCCACAACCUCAGCUACCAACACAAUUAUGGAUAUAGAAGGUGCCACCUGCUGACAAAGAUGCUUGGGACAAAUGUACACAUCAAUAAAGGAUUGGAACGCUUGAGAAAAAUGAAGAAUAACACCAACCAAGACCAAGAAGAGGGAGAAUGACAGUACCAGGGCCCGUACUUAUAAAGAAAUUUAUGCGAGACGUAAACUGAGACAUAUCCGAGUAUUAACAAUGACGAGACAUAACCCCCCUCCUUACGUUUCACCCCCUCAACAUAACCAGCUCGACAUAAGCGAGUAUUAGUACAUCGUUGCCAAACCCUGAGCUGCACAUAUGAAAGGGAUGCCAACUCAAAAUAAAAUGUUGGAAUUUGGUAUAAUUUUGAUGUUAAAAGCAUAUUGACGUAUUGGAAAUAUGUAUAAAAUAUAAAAAAGUAUUUUUGGGUAUUGUUGGCGAUGCAUAGAUCAACAUCACAUGGAAUAAUGAAAAAAUUAAAGAUGUAGCCCCUCAAACACGUAAACAAACAUUCCCGCGAGCUUCAAGCUAGCAGCCAGCCAUGGACGCCAACAGCCAGCCACGACCUCAAGAGCCCCUCAGCAGCCAGCGCUUUCACGCAAGAUACGUGCGUCAUGGACAGACCCGGGCCAGUUUGCUGUUUGGUGUAAAAUUCUCCCGUGUGUGUCACAUAUGAUUUGCACAUUUAAAGAGUGGUGCCCUUUCCUGUUUACAUACUUUGCCUCAAAUUCCCUGGGUGCAACAAUCCUCACAUGUGCUCCGUCUACUGCCCCUACCACACCAGGGAAUCCCGCAAUUUCCUCAAACUCACGCCGCUUCACCUGAGUUUCUUGCACAGUGAGGGGGAACUUGAUGAAGCGUCUCACUAUAUGAGGCUGUGCAAGGGCGUACACAGUCUCCCGGGUGACCCUGCUGACGGUCUGUUGUGAAGGCCCCAAGUCGUCGCUGCUACACUGCUGCAUUUUGCCCGUAGCAAGAUACCUCAGUGUUAUGAGGACCUUCAUCUCAGGGGAGAGGGCUUGGUUCCUGUUUGUAGAUGUAGUCAAGGCCUCACACACCAAAUCGGUCACAAAGAGUAUCCCUGCACGGUCCAGGCGGUACCUCUUGAUCAAUUCCAGGUCCGAAAGUUCAUCAAGGAUGUCUCUUCGUGCCUGAAAAGUCCUCAGCUGCCGCAGACACGCACCCACUACCUCCGCCAUCUUGACUGUUAUGCUUCACUUAGGUCGACCUAAGGAAUGCAAUGUUACCCCCACCCCAUGCGUAGCUGGCGAGUCAGUUUAGGUUCCGAUUAGUUGAAACCCAAGGGUUAUGCUUCCCUUACGUCUCGGUGUCUGCCAUUUUCUUGAUUUAUGCCUCACAUAAGCGAAACAUAUUCUUUAAAAGUACAGGCCCAGUACCACCGAAGAUUAUGCAUCAGCUAAGUUCUGAUUAAACCUGGCUACACUGAGGGGCAUGGUGCAUCCUGACACCCUCACCCACAAGCAAUUAAUACCUUUUCUAAAGGCCCGUCCAGAUCGGGGUUUCAAAUUGCGCAACACAUUGCUGCAACUCAAUUUUUGUGUUGCGUGUUGCCUGAGAGAAUUGCCGCAUGGGGCAUUUUCGUAACACGGUGACGAUGCAGGUGACAGUAGGUGAUAAGCUGUCACCAAGGAAGGAUUGGCGCCGCUUACUUUACUGUUCCAUUCACACAAUGGCUGAUGAUAAUUUGUCAUCAUGGAGCAGGCCACAUACCUUGCUAUUUAUAGAUUUGCUGAAGCAGCAUCCAUGCCUAUGAAAGGUGAAAAGCAAAGACUACAAAAACAAAAAUUUAGGAAGUGCAUAUCUGAAUACUGUGUGCAGUGAAAUGAUAAAUAAAAUAAAUUAU